rnacentral:rRNA from 1 species
GAUGAACGCUGGCGGCGUGCCUAGUACAUGCGAGUCGAGCGAACAGACGAGGAGCUUGCUCCUCUGACGUUAGCGGCGGACGGGUGAGUAACACGUGGAUAACCUACCUAUAAGACUGGGAUAACUUCGGGAAACCGGAGCUAAUACCGGAUAAUAUAUUGAACCGCAUGGUUCAAUAGUGAAAGACGGUUUUGCUGUCACUUAUAGAUGGAUCCGCGCCGCAUUAGCUAGUUGGUAAGGUAACGGCUUACCAAGGCAACGAUGCGUAGCCGACCUGAGAGGGUGAUCGGCCACACUGGAACUGAGACACGGUCCAGACUCCUACGGGAGGCAGCAGUAGGGAAUCUUCCGCAAUGGGCGAAAGCCUGACGGAGCAACGCCGCGUGAGUGAUGAAGGUCUUCGGAUCGUAAAACUCUGUUAUUAGGGAAGAACAAAUGUGUAAGUAACUAUGCACGUCUUGACGGUACCUAAUCAGAAAGCCACGGCUAACUACGUG